rnacentral:rRNA from 1 species
GUGGGGAAUCUUGCGCAAUGGGCGAAAGCCUGACGCAGCCAUGCCGCGUGAAUGAUGAAGGUCUUAGGAUUGUAAAAUUCUUUCACCGGGGACGAUAAUGACGGUACCCGGAGAAGAAGCCCCGGCUAACUUCGUGCCAGCAGCCGCGGUAAUACGAAGGGGGCUAGCGUUGCUCGGAAUUACUGGGCGUAAAGGGCGCGUAGGCGGACAGUUUAGUCAGAGGUGAAAGCCCAGGGCUCAACCUUGGAAUUGCCUUUGAUACUGGCUGUCUUGAGUACGGGAGAGGUGAGUGGAACUCCGAGUGUAGAGGUGAAAUUCGUAGAUAUUCGGAGGAACACCAGUGGCGAAGGCGGCUCACUGGCUCGAUACUGACGCUGAGGUGCGAAAGCGUGGGGAGCAAACAGGAUUAGAUACCCCUGUAGUCC